UACGGGGGGGGCAAGCGUUGUUCGGAAUUACUGGGCGUAAAGGGCUCGUAGGCGGCCAACUAAGUCAGACGUGAAAUCCCUCGGUUUAACCGGGGAACUGCGUCUGAUACUGGAUGGCUUGAGAUUGGGAGAGGGAUGCGGAAUUCCAGGUGUAGCGGUGAAAUGCGUAGAUAUCUGGAGGAACACCGGUGGCGAAGGCGGCAUCCUGGACCAACACUGACGCUGAGGAGCGAAAGCCAGGGGAGCAAACGGG
rnacentral:rRNA from 1 species